rnacentral:rRNA from 1 species
GGGGCUUAACACAUGCAAGUCGAGGGGCAGCAUGGUCUUAGCUUGCUAAGGCCGAUGGCGACCGGCGCACGGGUGAGUAACGCGUAUCCAACCUGCCUUACACUCUUGGACAGCCUUCUGAAAGGGAGAUUAAUACAAGAUGUUAUCAUGAGUAAGCAUUUUCGCAUGAUUAAAGGUUUACCGGUGUAAGAUGGGGAUGCGUUCCAUUAGAUAGUAGGCGGGGUAACGGCCCACCUAGUCUUCGAUGGAUAGGGGUUCUGAGAGGAAGGUCCCCCACAUUGGAACUGAGACACGGUCCAAACUCCUACGGGAGGCAGCAGUGAGGAAUAUUGGUCAAUGGACGAGAGUCUGAACCAGCCAAGUAGCGUGAAGGAUGAAGGUUCUAUGGAUUGUAAACUUCUUUUAUACGGGAAUAAACGAAUCCACGCGUGGAUUUUUGCAUGUACCGUAUGAAUAAGGAUCGGCUAACUCCGUGCCAGCAGCCGCGGUAAUACGGAGGAUCCGAGCGUUAUCCGGAUUUAUUGGGUUUAAAGGGAGCGUAGAUGGGUUGUUAAGUCAGUUGUGAAAGUUUGCGGCUCAACCGUAAAAUUGCAAUUGAUACUGGCAGUCUUGAGUACAGUUGAGGUAGGCGGAAUUCGUUGUGUAGCGGUGAAAUGCUUAGAUAUCACGAAGAACUCCGAUUGCGAAGGCAGCUUACUAACCUGUAACUGACAUUGAUGCUCGAAAGUGUGGGUAUCAAACAGGAUUAGAUACCCUGGUAGUCCACACGGUAAACGAUGAAUACUCGCUGUAGGCGAUAUACAGUCUGCGGCCAAGCGAAAGCAUUAAGUAUUCCACCUGGGGAGUACGCCGGCAACGGUGAAACUCAAAGGAAUUGACGGGGGCCCGCACAAGCGGAGGAACAUGUGGUUUAAUUCGAUGAUACGCGAGGAACCUUACCCGGGCUUAAAUUGCAACCGAAUAUGGCGGAAACGCUAUAGCUAGCAAUAGCGGUUGUGAAGGUGCUGCAUGGUUGUCGUCAGCUCGUGCCGUGAGGUGUCGGCUUAAGUGCCAUAACGAGCGCAACCCUUGCCGAUAGUUACUAACAGGUUAUGCUGAGGACUCUGUCGGGACUGCCAUCGUAAGAUGUGAGGAAGGUGGGGAUGACGUCAAAUCAGCACGGCCCUUACGUCCGGGGCUACACACGUGUUACAAUGGGGGGUACAGAGGGCUGCUACCACGCAAGUGGAUGCCAAUCCCAAAAACCUCUCUCAGUUCGGAUUGAAGUCUGCAACCCGACUUCAUGAAGCUGGAUUCGCUAGUAAUCGCGCAUCAGCCACGGCGCGGUGAAUACGUUCCCGGGCCUUGUACACACCGCCCGUCAAGCCAUGGGAGCCGGGGGUACCUGAAGUGCGUAACCGCAAGGAGCGCCCUAGGGUAAAACUGGUGACUGGGGCUA